GACUCUUUGGUUUCAAACCAAAUAAGCUCAGGUUUGACUCAAUUUGGAUCUGAUUCGAAUCAGAUUCGAAGAGCUUGUCAAUCCUAAUCUAAUUAAGAUUUUGAUCAAAGUCUAACUUAAAGUUUUAACCUAAUUAAUUCUUAAUUAAAUCAGAUAUAAUCUAAAAUUAGUUAGGAUAUAAAUUCAAUCUUUUAUUAAUUUUUUGGAUCAUUGAUCAGAUCAUCAUCAUCCCC
rnacentral:lncRNA from 1 species